GACAUUUGGUAGAGACUGUUGAAGCCACCUGGUCCCAGCAGACCCUGGAAGGCGGCCACAUUCGCUGGUGCUGGAACAAGGUCAUUAGGGGUGAAGGUUGGUAACAGAUGUGU
rnacentral:rRNA from 1 species